rfam:Aedes albopictus isolate Foshan contig243690, whole genome shotgun sequence.
CAAAUGAUCCUUUUCAGGACCACCAAAAAUAUCAUUCAAUUAAUC